GGGGGGGUGAGCAGGACAGACAAUGAACCCAUGCCCACGGCCCCGGGCCUGUUCAACACAAACCCGUCUGUGUGUGCACAGGUCAGCUGUGUGAGUGUGCAAGACUGUGUGCGCACAGGUCAGCUGUGUGAGUGUGCAAGACUGCGCACACCGCAGCGUGCGUCUGACUCGAGCGCGAAAGACAAUUACACACGCGCGCGCUUGCAGAGACCAGCUGGAACCCGAUGGUACAAAGACAACAGCAAGCCCUGCUUUUUAAAAACCAGCCCUUCCGCCCACGGGUUCCAGGAUUAAUCUGCACUGCAAAUGGCUCGUGUUCCACGUUAAACACCCCCCCCACACCA